GGAGAGAUGGCUGAGUGGACUAAAGCGUCGGAUUGCUAAUCCGUUAUACGAAUAAUUCGUAUCGAGGGUUCGAAUCCCUCUCUCUCCG
rnacentral:tRNA from 1 species